rnacentral:rRNA from 1 species
CAGCAGCCACGGUAAUACGUAGGGUGCGAGCGUUAAUCGGAAUUACUGGGCGUAAAGCGUGCGCAGGCGGUUGUGUAAGACAGGUGUGAAAUCCCCGGGCUUAACCUGGGAACUGCGCUUGUGACUGCACUGCUAGAGUAUGGCAGAGGGGGGUGGAAUUCCACGUGUAGCAGUGAAAUGCGUAGAGAUGUGGAGGAACACCGAUGGCGAAGGCAGCCCCCUGGGCCAAUACUGACGCUCAUGCACGAAAGCGUGGGGAGCAAACAGGAUUAGAUACCCCUGUAGUCCCUGUCUCUUAUAC